GCGGCUCAGUGGUAGAGUAUCUGCUUUGUAAGCAGAAGGUUUGAAGUUCAAUUCCUUGCAUCUCCA
rnacentral:tRNA from 1 species